AGCUGAUCCAAAGGUAGUGAGUUAUCUCAAUUAAUUGUUCACAGUCACAGUCAGUUACAGAUCGAACUGCUUGUUCUACUCUUUCCCCCUUUCUCACUACUGCACUUGACUGGUUUUUA
rnacentral:Y_RNA from 1 species